AUGGGAAGCCCCGAUGACCAGAUGAAUCCUUGCGCCAUCUGCCUGGGCAGCAUGGUCGCCGAUGAUGGUGGUCAGGCCAUCUUCACGGCCGAGUGCUCCCACGCGUUCCACUUCAGAUGCAUCUCCGACAGCGUCGCCCACGGCCACCUCCUCUGCCCGCUCUGCAAGGCGCAGUGGCGCGACCUGCCACUGGUGCGGCCGACAUCACUUCUGUCUGCGAUACCCACGCAGUCACAGUCAGAGGAGCGGCCACCUUCACCUCCACAGCCUGUGGAUCGAGCCGAGAGCGAGCGCGUCCGGGCGGAGGUGCACGAGAGCAUUGCCGCGGCGAGGGCGGCGGCAGAGCGGGGCGCGACCCAGGAGGCGGUGAACAUACUCGACAAGCAGCAGCUAGCGGUGCUGCGAUCGGGAGCAGCACGGAUCGGCGACCCCAUCAUCGUGGAGCUGGGAGCCGAGCUGCUUAAGAUGCGCAGGCAAGCGCACGCGCUGAACCAGCAGAUGCCGGCGCGCAUGCUGGCCGGCAUGAGCGCACGGACGCAGCAGCCACGAGCACGCAUGAAGGGCCCCCGCAUGAGCGUGACGAUGCCGCCACGCGCACGCAUCCAGGUCGCCGGUAUGAGCGCGCGCGCGCCGACACAGCGGCGUGCCAGUUCGAGGCAGAAGCGGCAGCCAAGCGCGGGCAGCGGCAGCGGCAGCCUGACGGCGGCGGGGGUGAAGAAGCGGAAAGCUCCGAACCCAAGGUCCCAAGGGCGCGCGUAA
rnacentral:rRNA from 1 species